GAGUGGCGAACUGGUGAGUAACACGUGGGAAACCUGCCCAGAAGCGGGGGAUAACACCUGGAAACAGAUGCUAAUACCGCAUAACAACUUGGACCGCAUGGUCCGAGUUUGAAAGAUGGCUUCGGCUAUCACUUUUGGAUGGUCCCGCGGCGUAUUAGCUAGAUGGUGNGGUAACGGCUCACCAUGGCAAUGAUACGUAGCCGACCUGAGAGGGUAAUCGGCCACAUUGGGACUGAGACACGGCCCAAACUCCUACGGGAGGCAGCAGUAGGGAAUCUUCCACAAUGGACGAAAGUCUGAUGGAGCAACGCCGCGUGAGUGAAGAAGGGUUUCGGCUCGUAAAACUCUGUUGUUAAAGAAGAACAUAUCUGAGAGUAACUGUUCAGGUAUUGACGGUAUUUAACCAGAAAGCCACGGCUAACUACGUGCCAGCAGCCGCGGUAAUACGUAGGUGGCAAGCGUUGUCCGGAUUUAUUGGGCGUAAAGCGAGCGCAGGCGGUUUUUUAAGUCUGAUGUGAAAGCCUUCGGCUCAACCGAAGAAGUGCAUCGGAAACUGGGAAACUUGAGUGCAGAAGAGGACAGUGGAACUCCAUGUGUAGCGGUGAAAUGCGUAGAUAUAUGGAAGAACACCAGUGGCGAACGCGGCUGUCUGGUCUGUAACUGACGCUGAGGCUCGAAAGUAUGGGUAGCAAACAGGAUUAGAUACCCUGGUAGUCCAUACCGUAAACGAUGAAUGCUAAGUGUUGGAGGGUUUCCGCCCUUCAGUGCUGCAGCUAACGCAUUAAGCAUUCCGCCUGGGGAGUACGGCCGCAAGGCUGAAACUCAAAGGAAUUGACGGGGGCCCGCACAAGCGGUGGAGCAUGUGGUUUAAUUCGAAGCUACGCGAAGAACCUUACCAGGUCUUGACAUACUAUGCAAAUCUAAGAGAUUAGACGUUCCCUUCGGGGACAUGGAUACAGGUGGUGCAUGGUUGUCGUCAGCUCGUGUCGUGAGAUGUUGGGUUAAGUCCCGCAACGAGCGCAACCCUUAUUAUCAGUUGCCAGCAUUAAGUUGGGCACUCUGGUGAGACUGCCGGUGACAAACCGGAGGAAGGUGGGGAUGACGUCAAAUCAUCAUGCCCCUUAUGACCUGGGCUACACACGUGCUACAAUGGAUGGUACAACGAGUUGCGAACUCGCGAGAGUAAGCUAAUCUCUUAAAGCCAUUCUCAGUUCGGAUUGUAGGCUGCAACUCGCCUACAUGAAGUCGGAAUCGCUAGUAAUCGCGGAUCAGCAUGCCGCGGUGAAUACGUUCCCGGGCCUUGUACACACCGCCCGUCACACCAUGAGAGUUUGUAACACCCAAAGUCGGUGGGGUAACCUUUUAGGAACCAGCCGCCUAA
rnacentral:rRNA from 1 species